AUUUAUCUGAGCAGAACUUUGCAUUAAAAGAAGGAAUUGGUACUGAGAAAAUGCUUCUGGAGGACAAAGUUCAGAUACAUUAACAUCAGCAACCCGACUGUAUUAAAGCUGUUUCAAACGCACUAUUAUAGGCUCUGAAAUUCAUGUAUGUUUAUGAGACUGACAGUUGUUUCUGUGUCUGGUGCUUCACUUUAGAAAUACACGCUUAAAUGACUCAAAAGUCAUCUCUCUCAGGUUCAGAUUAUUUUGGUUUAGAGAUAAUUACACUUCCCUGUCAUUUUUACAAAGUUUCUGUUAUAAAUGAAAUAUUUUUUGAAAAGCAUGUUGAAAACUGUAAAAACAACUAUAAGUGAAAAAGCAGUAAAAGAACAAGGUAUCACCUCAAAUACUCUGGAACUUGAUUUUUAGGAGGCACAGGCAUAGGCAACAUUUACACUCACUCCCACCCUCACACUUAACGUACAUAUCUAAAUUCCAAAGUGUAUGAUGUUAUAUUACUUUGAUUUAUUUUUUAUCUUACUUUAUCUUAGCUAACAUUUUAACAUUGUUAUAUAGCAAAAUUGCAUAUUAUAUGAAAUAUAAUAUGCCAUAUAAUGUUUUUCUGUGGACUGUGAUCUGAUUUUUUGGUAUGUAACAAAAAUAAAUGCUUUGUGGGUCAUUGUAUUGUUUUAUUAUGACUUUAUUCUUGGGUUCAAACCCUAUCUUAAACAUAUGACUUUGAAUUUGAGUAUGGGCAUAUAAUGAGCAUCUUUACAAAAUGAGUUCAUAUUUCAUCUUUACACUAGGAGUGUUUACAAUCUAAUUUUAAAAAAAUGAUUUAAAUAAAACUCAUCAUAUUUUAUGUGGCUUAGACUAU
rnacentral:lncRNA from 1 species